rnacentral:rRNA from 1 species
CCUACGGGCGGCAGCAGUGGGGAAUAUUGGACAAUGGGGGCAACCCUGAUCCAGCCAUGCCGCGUGUGUGAAGAAGGCCCUCGGGUUGGAAAGCACUUUCAGUGAGGAAGAACGCCUGGUGGUUAAUACCCAUCAGGAAAGACAUCACUCACAGAAGAAGCACCGGCUAACUCCGUGCCAGCAGCCGCGGUAAUACGGAGGGUGCGAGCGUUAAUCGGAAUUACUGGGCGUAAAGCGCGCGUAGGUGGCUUGAUAAGCCGGUUGUGAAAGCCCCGGGCUCAACCUGGGAACGGCAUCCGGAACUGUCAAGCUAGAGUGCAGGAGAGGAAGGUAGAAUUCCCGGUGUAGCGGUGAAAUGCGUAGAGAUCGGGAGGAAUACCAGUGGCGAAGGCGGCCUUCUGGACUGACACUGACACUGAGGUGCGAAAGCGUGGGUAGCAAACAGGAUUAGAUACCCGAGUAGUC